AAAGGCUGCUGGACAAAUGCCUUCUCAGGCUCCUUUUCCAGCUCUCAGGAAUCCCAAAGCCUAGCUGCCAGGGUCCCCUGGAAGCUCCUCCUUCCCCCUGUUCAACUGCCUUCCAGACUUGUAAAGCAUAUUCCCCACGCCAACCGGCUCUGCGCCAGGUCUGGACAUAGGAGACGGAGAUGGCGGAGACUUUGAGAUGUGACCCAACACGAAACUGAGUCUGUCCAGGAGAGAUCUGGGACUGGGGUCUGAGGCUGCCCGGAGCUACGGAGGGCCUUGUGGUAGAGAGGGUCUUUGGCUGAGCACAAAGGCACCCCCGGCAGGAAUCCAGGCUCGGAGUCCUGGGAGCUCCAUCCAUCCUUUGUGAACAUGGCUAUGGUAACUUGCCCAAGGCCGCUCAGGUGCUUUAUAUGUGGGCAUUGGCUCUUCUGUCUCCUGGGGCAGGACUAUCUCUACCAGUCACCAGGGACAGACAAUGCUCCAUCUCCGCUGGGAGCCUGAGCUCUUCCCUCCUGCCUGGCAGCACCGCUCCCUGGAUCCAGACCACAGAGCCCGCGCUGACCUUCCUCGCUGAACCUGGUGGCAGAGGUGAGGACACGGUGAGGAGGUGGCCAUUUGCGAGCCAAGAAGAGAGCUCUCACUGGAACCUGACCAUGCUGCUACCUUGAUCUUAGGCUUCCAGUCUUUAGAACCGUGAGAAAAUAAAGUUCUGUUG